GACGAACGCUGGCGGCGUGCCUAACACAUGCAAGUCGAACGGGAGUCUUCGGACUCUAGUGGCGAACGGGUGAGUAAUGCGCAGAUAAUCUGCCCUCUUCUUGGGCACAACAGUCCGAAAGGAUUGCUAAUUCCGAAUGCACACGGUAGACGCAUGUCUGUCGUGAUAAAGAGGCAACUCGGAAGAGGAGGAGUCCGCGUCUGAUUUUCUGGUUGGUGGGGUAAAGGCUUACCAAGGCGACGAUCAGUAGCCGGUCUGAGAGGAUGAACGGCCACAAUGGAACUGAGACACGGUUCAUACUCCUACGGGAGGCAGCAGUGGGGAAUUUUCCGCAAUGGAGGAAACUCUGACGGAGCGACGCCGCGUGAGUGAAGAAGGGCUUAGCUCGUAAGCUCUGUUGAUCGGGACGAUAUGACGGUACCGAUCGAGGAGCCACGGCUACUACGUGCAGCAGCCGCGGUAUACGUAGUGGCAGCGUUGUCCGGAUUAUGGGCGUAAAGGGAGCGCAGGCGGUCUUGUAGUCCACUUAAAAUGCGGCUUACUCCCUAUGGGUGGAAUGCUGACUUGUACAGAAAGGUAGCGAAACCCGGGCGGGAGUGUAAUCGACAUUGAGCUUUUAUGUUUCUAUGCUACCGGACGAUACCAUCCCGCAAGAUGUUCG
rnacentral:rRNA from 1 species